rnacentral:rRNA from 1 species
UCUACGGGAGGCAGCAGUGAGGAAUAUUGGUCAAUGGGCUUACGCCUGAACCAGCCAAGUCGCGUGAGGGAAGACUGCCCUAUGGGUUGUAAACCUCUUUUGUCAGGGAGCAACGCCGGCUACGUGUAGCCGGACUGAGAGUACCUGAAGAAAAAGCAUCGGCUAACUCCGUGCCAGCAGCCGCGGUAAUACGGAGGAUCCGAGCGUUAUCCGGAUUUAUUGGGUUUAAAGGGAGCGUAGAUGGGUUGUUAAGUCAGUUGUGAAAGUUUGCGGCUCAACCGUAAAAUUGCAAUUGAUACUGGCAGCCUUGAGUACAGUUGAGGUAGGCGGAAUUCGUGGUGUAGCGGUGAAAUGCUUAGAUAUCACGAAGAACUCCGAUUGCGAAGGCAGCUUACUAAACUGCCACUGACAUUGAUGCUCGAAAGUGUGGGUAUCAAACAGGAUUAGAUACCCCAGUAGUC